GAGCUGGUGUGAGAACCAGACUGGGAGCUGGUGUGAGAACCAGACUGGGAGCUGGUGUGAGAACCAGACUGGGAGCUGGUGUGAGAACCAGACUGGGAGCUGGUGUGAGAACCAGACUGGGAGCUGGUGUGAGAACCAGACUGGGAGCUGGUGUGAGAACCAGACUGGGAGCAGGUGUCGGCUUCAGCCGAGGAGCAGGUGUCGGCUUCAGCCGAGGAGCAGGUGUCGGCUUCAGCCGAGGAGCAGGUGUCGGCUUCAGCCGAGGAGCAGGUGUCGGCUUCAGCCGAGGAGCAGGUGUCGGCUUCAGCCGAGGAGCAGGUGUCAGCCGAGGAGCAGGUGUCAGCCGAGGAGCAGGUGUCGGCGUCAGCCGAGGAGCACUAAGAGACUGGCAGAGAGGAGGACUAGGACUACUAUGAGGAUUUAGACUAACACUAGGACUUGGGCAAGGACUUGUGUGAGGACCAGUACUUACAAUCAAACUAGUGCUUUUAUAAGGACUUGGGCAAGGACCAGGACUUACAGUCGAACCAGGGCUUGGGCAGGAACUAGGACUUGAGGUCAACCUAGGGCAAGGACUGGGACUUACAAUCAUACUGGUGCUCGGGCAAGGACUUGGACAAAGACUAGGACUUACAGUGACACUGGGGCUCGGACAAGAAUUUGGGCAAGGACUAGGGUUACUGUGAGGACUAAGACCACGAGGGGAAUUAGGACACGGACUACGAUCAAGACUACACGAAGGUACGUAACUGGGACCGGGACUUGGACUACCAUUAAGAGAAUGACUUGAGCAAGGACUUGGGCUAGGACUCGGACUACGACUCAGUCUACGAGUUGAUCUACAAUGUUGGCCAGAAGUCGGACCAGGACUGGGACUAGGCUUGAACACCGGUGGUGGAGGAAGAAAAGUAGGUAGCUCAUGUUGCCUUAGUUUGCAUCUAGAAAUAACAUCUGUAUAGAACUUAGUUGUGUCUAUAGAGUCCAAAAAAUCAUAGUCAAUAUUUGAAACAGGUUGAGAAUAAGACUCAACAAUAUAAAAAUCCUCAGAAAAAAUAUCAUCGACAGGGGGUGGUAUUGAGUCACCAGGGGGCGUUGACGAAAUGACGUCACCGUGAUGGACCGGUGGGCCGGAGGUAUGCCCUGGCCUUACAGCCCAGUCGGAAGAGUGGUUGGAAUAUGGAGAAAAAACAAAACUUCCAAACCUCAGGGAAGAGUACUGGGCUGUUGUCUGCGCGCUGCUGUCCGGGGAAAAAGUCUUCGCGGCUUGGCGAAGGGAAGACUUUUGGUGGUCCACUGCGAGGCGGCGUUGUGCUGGCUGUUUUCUGACACGGUGGCGAGGCAUAAUGGAUGCGUGUUGCUACCCCAGGGAUGCAAGAGGACCAGGACAGGCAGGAGUUGCAGCCACCUUGUUAUAAGAGGACUAUUUUUGCCACGCUUUGUGCAUCCUGGCCAUUUCUCCGCCACCCACUGAAAGAUACUACUUUUGUUAAAUUUCCCAUGGUGUGCACUUUUGCCCCAUCAACCUUUGUUACCAUUUUGGACUUAUUAAAUAUUUGUAUUUGUUGUCGCAUACCUUGCUUUCAUUCUCUGCAUCCCGGGGUCCACCCUUGAACUUUGCUUAACAGUUGUAUUUGUAUUGUAGAAUUUUGGUUUGGAAAAGACCCAAAUUCAAUGGUCUAUUCAACCUUACAUUGAAUAAAUGUGGUCAAAAAGUAUGUUGUUUCUUCUGAGACAAGACAAUCGCCACGGCAACCACGAGGAGGAGGAAGAGUGCUGAGAGGACGCCGCCCAUUAUUGGCAGAAAGGUCUUACUUUGAGGGGCACCGAUUCCUUUGAUUUGCUCAUCGCACAAACUUCUUUUGGUUUCAGGCAACCACUGAGAUAUGCGAGUCCCGUUUGAGGUGCAGUUGAUGAAAACUAGACACAAACAGAAUGAGCAUUAGUGUAUUACCCAGCAGGCCCAAGACAUUGAUAUCACGUCCAUUAUACAUACCUGUUCUUUAAAACUGACUUUGAAACAACAUUGCAAAAUAGUUAUAUUUUUUAACUGAGACAACGUUGACGUUCAACACUGGAUCCACGUUGUUGGUUGGGAAAUGACCAAAAUUCAAUGGUCUAAUCAACCUUACAUUGAAUAAACGUCAUAAAGUAUGUUGUUUCAUCGUUGUAUUUUUGUUGUAAAAUUAUGGUUUGGAAAUGACCAGAAUUCAAAGGUCAUAUCAACCUUUCAACAUUGAAGAAACUUUGUCAAAAAGAAUGUUUCAACGUUGUAUUUGUGUUGUAGAACUUUGGUUGGGAAAUUACCAAAAUUCAAUGGUCAAAUUAAAAAAAUCACAACCCAACAUUGAUUAAACGUUGUCAAGAAGCAUGUUGUUUCAACGUCAUAUUUUUGUUGUAGAAUUUUAGUUGGGAAAUGACCAGAAUUCAAUGGUCAAAUCAUCAUCAUAAACCAACAAUGAUUAUAAGUCGUCAAAAAGCAUGUUUUUUCAUCGUUAUGUUUGAGUUGCCCAACGUCAGGACCUAAUUGAAUGGUCAAAUCAAAGUCACAACCCAACAUUGAUUAAAUGUUGUCAAGAAGAACGUUGUUUUAAUGACCAAAAUUAAAUGGUCAAAUCAACCUUUCAACCUGACAUCGAACAAACUUUGUCAAAAAGUAUGUUGUUUCAACAUUGUGUUUAUGUUGUAGAAUUUUGGUCGGGAAAUGACCAAAAUUCAAUGGUCAAAUCAAAGUCACAAGCCAACAUUGAUUAAACGUUGUCAAAAAGAA